rnacentral:lncRNA from 1 species
GGUCUCAAAGGCAACAUAGGCCCAGCAAACCAAUCUGGCAAAUUUCAAUGUGCAAACAUGGUAAAGGGGAAAGCCCUACUUUUGACCCCUGUAAGUUUGCAAAAAACCAUAAAACCUAUACAUUGGGGGCACUGUUGUACUUGGGAGAUGUUGCUGAACACAUAUUGGGUGUUAUUUGUCAGCCACACAUAACAGGAACUGAG